rnacentral:antisense_RNA from 1 species
UGUGGGAGCUGGCUUGCCUGCGAUAAUAGCGGUGGGUCAGUUAACCCAAGAGUGACUGAUACACCGCUAUCGCAGGCAAGCCAGCUCCCACA